rnacentral:rRNA from 1 species
AUUGAACGCUGGCGGCAGGCCUAACACAUGCAAGUCGAACGGUAACAGGAAGAAGCUUGCUUCUUUGCUGACGAGUGGCGGACGGGUGAGUAAUGUCUGGGAAACUUCCUGAUGGAGGGGGAUAACUACUGGAAACGGUAACUAAUACCGCAUAACGUCGCAAGACCAAAAAGGGGGACCUUCGGGCCUCUUGCCAUCGGGUGUGCCCAGAUGGGAUUAGCUAGUAGGUGGGGUAACGGCUCACCUAGGCGACGAUCCCUAGCUGGUCUGAGAGGAUGACCAGCCACACUGGAACUGAGACACGGUCCAGACUCCUACGGGAGGCAGCAGUGGGGAAUAUUGCACAAUGGGCGCAAGCCUGAUGCAGCCAUGCCGCGUGUAUGAAGAAGGCCUUCGGGUUGUAAAGUACUUUCAGCGGGGAGGAAGGGAGUAAAGUUAAUACCUUUGCUCAUUGACGUUACCCGAAGAAGAAGCACCGGCUAACUCCGUG